rnacentral:rRNA from 1 species
UCCCCAGACUCCUACGGGAGGCAGCAGUGGGGAAUAUUGCACAAUGGGGGAAACCCUGAUGCAGCGACGCCGCGUGAGCGAAGAAGUAUUUCGGUAUGUAAAGCUCUAUCAGCAGGGAAGAAAUUGACGGUACCUGAGUAAGAAGCUCCGGCUAAAUACGUGCCAGCAGCCGCGGUAAUACGUAUGGAGCAAGCGUUAUCCGGAUUUACUGGGUGUAAAGGGAGCGUAGGCGGCCUGCCAAGUCUGAUGUGAAAUGCCGGGGCUCAACCCCGGGGCUGCAUUGGAAACUGGCAGGCUGGAGUGUCGGAGAGGCAGGCGGAAUUCCUAGUGUAGCGGUGAAAUGCGUAGAUAUUAGGAGGAACGCCAGUGGCGAAGGCGGCCUGCUGGACGAUGACUGACGCUGAGGCUCGAAAGCGUGGGGAUCAAACAGGAUUAGAUACCCUCGUAC